rnacentral:rRNA from 1 species
GAUGAACGCUGGCGGCGUGCCUAAUACAUGCAAGUCGAGCGAACAGACGAGGAGCUUGCUCCUCUGACGUUAGCGGCGGACGGGUGAGUAACACGUGGAUAACCUACCUAUAAGACUGGGAUAACUUCGGGAAACCGGAGCUAAUACCGGAUAACAUGUUGAACCGCAUGGUUCAACAGUGAAAGACGGUCUUGCUGUCACUUAUAGAUGGAUCCGCGCCGCAUUAGCUAGUUGGUAAGGUAACGGCUUACCAAGGCAACGAUGCGUAGCCGACCUGAGAGGGUGAUCGGCCACACUGGAACUGAGACACGGUCCAGACUCCUACGGGAGGCAGCAGUAGGGAAUCUUCCGCAAUGGGCGAAAGCCUGACGGAGCAACGCCGCGUGAGUGAAGAAGGUCUUCGGAUCGGAGAACUCUGUUAUUAGGGAAGAACAAAUGUGUAAGUAACUAUGCACGUCUUGACGGUACCUAAACAGAAAGCCACGGCUAACUACGUG